UACCGUGCCACUUGGCAAAACAUCAAAAACACCAAAGAACCGUAUUAGUAGACCCGGCAUCUGCCGGGGUCGAAAGUUCGGUUCAGUGCAUACAA
rnacentral:ncRNA from 1 species